rnacentral:rRNA from 2 species
GGGUGAGUAACACGUGGGCAACCUGCCUGUAAGACUGGGAUAACUUCGGGAAACCGAAGCUAAUACCGGAUAGGAUCUUCUCCUUCAUGGGAGAUGAUUGAAAGAUGGUUUCGGCUAUCACUUACAGAUGGGCCCGCGGUGCAUUAGCUAGUUGGUGAGGUAACGGCUCACCAAGGCAACGAUGCAUAGCCGACCUGAGAGGGUGAUCGGCCACACUGGGACUGAGACACGGCCCAGACUCCUACGGGAGGCAGCAGUAGGGAAUCUUCCGCAAUGGACGAAAGUCUGACGGAGCAACGCCGCGUGAGUGAUGAAGGCUUUCGGGUCGUAAAACUCUGUUGUUAGGGAAGAACAAGUACGAGAGUAACUGCUUGUACCUUGACGGUACCUAACCAGAAAGCCACGGCUAACUACGUGCCAGCAGCCGCGGUAAUACGUAGGUGGCAAGCGUUAUCCGGAAUUAUUGGGCGUAGAGCGCGCGCACGCGGUUUCUUAACUCUGAUGUGAACGCCCACAGCUCAACCGUGGAGGGUCAUUGGAAACUGGGGCACUUGCGAGCCGAAUAGACAGGCGCAAUUCCACGCGUAGCCGCGAAGUGCGCA